UUAUAAAGGAGAAACCUCUCAACUUUAUUAAUCAAAAUCAAUAUCAAUCAUAAACUAAAUUACAAACUUUCCUAAAAGUCUCUAUUUAUAAUAAACUUUACAACCCUAAUACUUGGAAUAUUCUGGAAUAAUAAUAAAUAAUUAGCUAAAGAUAAUAACUAAAGAUAUUUGAGAAUAUUUGGAAAUAUUUCAAAUAUCUCGCAGCAUCAGGUCUCGCCGGCCAAGAAAAGAUUCGUCCUCGAAUCUUGUAUCUGCGCUGCAUCAGCUCCCACCGGCCAAGAAAGAUUCGCCCUCGAAUCUUCAACAGGGUGUUCAACAAAGAAAAUCUUCGCAAAUCCAUUUUAAUAACCAACUUUUGAUUUUGCACAGAUUUUGCACGAAUCUGGUUUAACCCGAAAUUUGCACGAACCGUAUCUUGCCCGAAAUUUGCACAGAUCCGAUUUCGCCCGGUAUCUGCACGAACCAGAUUCACAAAAUCUUUCUCUUUGAAGACGAACUCUGAAACCAUGGUGUCAUCUUCAUCACCAUCGUUUCCAUCAUCAUCCUCAUCAACAACAACACCAUCUUCGUUAUCGCCUUCAACAACUUCAUCAUCAACAUCGUCUUCAAGAUCGGGUUCAACAUCUUCAUUGAAUCGAUGGUUAUCAUGAGGCAAAACUUGUUGUUGUUGUUGCAGUCGAUCAAUCAAUUGAAGCUGGGCUUGAAAGUGUACCUCAAGGGCUCUACCAAGAUUCUGUGUAAAAUCCAGUAAUGAUUGUUGUAAAGCAUCAGGUAGUCCGCUUUGUUGGUCUUGUAAAUUCUUUGGAGGCAUCAUGAAAAGAACCGUUUUAGCUCUGAUACCAAAUGAUAGAGAGCGGAAGCGAUAAAAAGGAUAAAUUUGGGAAUACUCUUCCCCGUGCCCGAAAGCUUGUUAGAUAAGUUGGGAAUACUCUUCCCCGUGCCCGAAAGCUCGUUUAUAAAGGAGAAACCUCUCAACUUUAUUAAUCAAAAUCAAUAUCAAUCAUAAACUAAAUUACAAACUUUACUAAAAGUCUCUAUUUAUAAUAAACCUUAAAACCCUAAUACUUGGAAUAUUCUGGAAUAAUAAUAAAUAAUUAGCUAAAGAUAAUAACUAAAGAUAUUUGAGAAUAUUUGGAAAUAUUUCAAAUAUCUCGCUGCA
rnacentral:lncRNA from 1 species